AAUCAACGCUGGCGGCAGGCCUAACACAUGCAAGUCGAACGCCGUAGCAAUACGGAGUGGCAGACGGGUGAGUAACACGUGGGAACAUACCCUUCGGUUCGGAAUAACUCAGGGAAACUUGAGCUAAUACCGGAUACGUCCGCGAGGAGAAAGAUUCAUCGCCGGAGGAUUGGCCCGCGUCUGAUUAGCUUGUUGGUGAGGUAAUGGCUCACCAAGGCGACGAUCAGAGCUGGUCUGAGAGGAUGAUCAGCCACAUUGGGACUGAGACACGGCCCAAACUCCUACGGGAGGCAGCAGUGGGGAAUAUUGGACAAUGGGCGCAAGCCUGAUCCAGCCAUGCCGCGUGAGUGAUGAAGGCCCUAGGGUUGUAAA
rnacentral:rRNA from 1 species